rnacentral:piRNA from 1 species
UAAUUGGUGCAUCCUGUGUAAAUGGAAGCU